rnacentral:rRNA from 1 species
UCAAUCUCGUGCGGCUAGAAGCCGCCUGUCCCUCUAAGAAGAUGACAACGCCGGGAGCAUAAAGAUCCCGGCGACUAGUUAGCAGGUUAGAGUCUCGUUCGUUAU